AGAGUUUGAUCCUGGCUCAGGAUGAACGCUGGCGGCGUGCUUAACACAUGCAAGUCGAACGGGAAUUACUUUAUUGAAACUUCGGUCGAUAUGAUUUAAUUCUAGUGGCGGACGGGUGAGUAACGCGUGGGUAACCUGCCUUAUACAGGGGGAUAACAGUCAGAAAUGACUGCUAAUACCGCAUAAGCGCACAGAGCUGCAUGGCUCAGUGCGAAAAACUCCGGUGGUAUAAGAUGGACCCGCGUUGGAUUAGCUAGUUGGUGAGGUAACGGCCCACCAAGGCGACGAUCCAUAGCCGACCUGAGAGGGUGACCGGCCACAUUGGGACUGAGACACGGCCCAAACUCCUACGGGAGGCAGCAGUGGGGAAUAUUGCACAAUGGGCGAAAGCCUGAUGCAGCGACGCCGCGUGAGCGAAGAAGUAUUUCGGUAUGUAAAGCUCUAUCAGCAGGGAAGAUAAUGACGGUACCUGACUAAGAAGCACCGGCUAAAUACGUGCCAGCAGCCGCGGUAAUACGUAUGGUGCAAGCGUUAUCCGGAUUUACUGGGUGUAAAGGGAGCGCAGGCGGUGCGGCAAGUCUGAUGUGAAAGCCCGGGGCUCAACCCCGGUACUGCAUUGGAAACUGUCGUACUAGAGUGUCGGAGGGGUAAGCGGAAUUCCUAGUGUAGCGGUGAAAUGCGUAGAUAUUAGGAGGAACACCAGUGGCGAAGGCGGCUUACUGGACGGUAACUGACGUUGAGGCUCGAAAGCGUGGGGAGCAAACAAGAUUAGAUACCCUGGUAGUCCACGCCGUAA
rnacentral:rRNA from 1 species